CACGUAGGGGGCAAGCGUUGUCCGGAUUUACUGGGCGUAAAGAGCUCGUAGGCGGUUCGGUAAGUUGGGUGUGAAAGCUCCAGGCUCAACCUGGAGAUGCCACCUAAUACUGCCGUGACUGGAGUUCGGUAGAGGAGUGUGGAAUUCCUGGUGUAGCGGUGAAAUGCGCAGAUAUCAGGAGGAACACCAACGGCGAAGGCAGCACUCUGGGCCGAUACUGACGCUGAGGAGCGAAAGCGUGGGGAUCAAACAGG
rnacentral:rRNA from 1 species